rnacentral:tRNA from 1 species
GCCUGGGUGGCUCAGUCAGUUAAGCGUCUGACUUCAGCUCAGGUCAUGAUCUCGCGGUUCGUGGGUUCAAGCCCCGCGUCGGGCU